CGCUUCAGCCCAGCCGUUCUCCCUGCAAAGAGUUAACCACAGCGCGUUUUGGGGAGCCAUUUUCUCUCCCUUACUCUUUCAGCACCUUUUGCAUGUGCAAAUGCAUCUCGGCCCUGAGAGCCCAGAAAUAAUAAGGGUUUUUUUAGCAGCUUCUGAGAUUCCAGGGCAUCUUUGUUAUCCUGCCUCUGCCGAAGCCUCGGGAAAGGCAGAGCCUGGCCGGUCCCCGGCGGCGCAGCGGAGGCUGCAGACAAAGGGCGGCCGCGUCCAGACGCCGCUUCUGCAGCGAGUGCCUYGGUCCAGACCCUGGGCUGCGCGCCGGCCGGAGCAGAGGGCCCACGCUCUCCUCCCGGGAAUGCCCAAAUCCUGCUUCUUAAAGAUCACCCUCUCCCGGCAAAGGAUUACCCUCCUCUUCGGGAGCUCAGUGUGCRUCCAGGCCCACGGUGGGCACGGCUCCCUCCUGGCACUGCCGGGAGAAACAGAAGGCAGAGGCUCUGCAUUGCCCUUCACUCGCGUUAUAGCAGCCCGGGCUGCUGUGAGUGUCCAGGCAGUGCCAGGACAGGGCUUUUCAUCCUUCUGGGCUGAGAAGAUGCAUCUGCCUCCUGUCCAGCCGGGGCCUGUCCCCUUCCCCAUGACAGCGCGGAGCAUGGCAGAGGAAAUCUGCGUGGAGCCGGCGGGGUGCCCUGCUGGGGGCACCGAGGGCUGGAGGCUCCCGGCGCCUCCUCCGGCACGGAUCUCCCCUCUCUGCCCUGCAGGGAGCUGGCCCCUGCCUCGCCCCGGCACGAAGCUCUGCCUGGCCAGCGCCCGGCCCAUCCUGUAAGCUCAGCUCUCUGUCCCAGCAGUGGGGGGGUUGAUCCGAGGAUGCAGCCUUGGAAGCUUGAUCCCUUUAAGCCGCAGCCGGUCCAGGCCUUGCAGGGAUGGGGGCCCGGGCUGCCUCGCUGGAGCCGUGCCAGGGGAGGACCUCGGGCAGCUGAGUUGGUGCAGCCCCACGUGUGCCCUGCGGGUGCUGGCUGGCACAGCAGCUCUCUUCUCCCUGCCUGCCGGCCCCACGGCUCCCCCGGCAAGGCCGUGGCAGGCUCUGCAGGAGGGGACAGCCCCAGGGACACUCAGGACAGGGGAAGCUUUGUCCAAGCCCUUCUGGGCUCCGGAGUGGCACCAGGCAUCUGCCCCGGCCUCUGCUGGGCUCUGCCCGKGGAUGGGGAGAGGCUGCCAGCGGAAAGUCCUGCAUGUUGUUCUSUCUUGCUGCGUUGGUUGUUUUCUUUUGCAGCCGCUAAUGACUGACCUGAGGUCUGUUCACACACAGUCCCCUGCGCAGCCUCCACGGCGGAGCAGCGAGACAAGACGGGGGGCAUUUUACAGCACUCGCCUAGCCGCUGACAUCAGGUAGGACCCCGGGGCGGGGGGUGACGCAGAGCAGCCCCAGCGC
rnacentral:lncRNA from 1 species